AGCAGUAGGGAUCUUCCGCAAUGGGCGAAAGCCUGACGGAGCAACGCCGCGUGAGUGAUGAAGGUCUUCGGAUCGUAAAACUCUGUUAUUAGGGAAGAACAAAUGUGUAAGUAACUAUGCACGUCUUGACGGUACCUAAUCAGAAAGCCACGGCUAACUACGUGCCAGCAGCCGCGGUAAUACGUAGGUGGCAAGCGUUAUCCGGAAUUAUUGGGCGUAAAGCGCGCGUAGGCGGUUUUUUAAGUCUGAUGUGAAAGCCCACGGCUCAACCGUGGAGGGUCAUUGGAAACUGGAAAACUUGAGUGCAGAAGAGGAAAGUGGAAUUCCAUGUGUAGCGGUGAAAUGCGCAGAGAUAUGGAGGAACACCAGUGGCGAAGGCGACUUUCUGGUCUGUAACUGACGCUGAUGUGCGAAAGCGUGGGGAUCAAACAGGAUUAGAUACCCUGGUAGUCCACGCCGUAAACGAUGAGUGCUAAGUGUUAGGGGGUUUCCGCCCCUUAGUGCUGCAGCUAACGCAUUAAGCACUCCGCCUGGGGAGUACGACCGCAAGGUUGAAACUCAAAGGAAUUGACGGGCCCCC
rnacentral:rRNA from 1 species